rnacentral:lncRNA from 1 species
GUGUUUGUAACGGUGCCAAGUGCUUCAGUGCAAGGCUGGGAAUGAUUUUCCUCCAGUUUCAAAAAUGCUUACUAACAAAAUAUGUUGAUUUUGCAAAUAGGUCUUAUUCUCAGCAGACAAAACCAAUGCAGAUCCAGCCCCACAACGGCAUUGCUGAAAACUGAGUGCAAGUCCUACAGAAAGCUGCUGAACACCUCCACACUUCUGUAGAUGUAAGAAAACGCUCCCAAAACAAGGAGGAGUAUGAUUUGUUACCUCUUGCAGGCAGCCCUGGGCACAACAGUGAUCCCUUUAUGUGGGCCUGGCGAGAUGGAGAACUGCACCACAGCACUAAGUAAGUGGAAUUGUCGAACAAAACCCCAAUUUUUAGCCUGCCUUUCCCUUAAUAUUGCUUUUUCAGCAGGAGAGCUCUGUCUUAUGUGAGAACUCUGCUGUAAAAGCUGAAAUAGUUUAUGUGGAACUCCUGAAGGAAAAGUCAGGAUAACUCCGGCCUGGGAGAAUCGUCUCCCGGUUCAGAAGGCUCU